UGGUGUCUGUCUCCACCUCUGCAGACAGAUGUUGGUGAGUGAAGGAAUGAAGUUUGAUGCUGAACUCUCGACGUUUGUUCUAGACUGCUUCAGAAGUGGAGACAGGAAGUAGCUGAUGGAGAUCUGGGAUCCUCACUGAGUCACCGCAGCUUUUAUUUUGUCAGACAGGUCACAGCUGUCACCUCGGUGUACCUGAGCAGGGACAGGUGAGGCAGAGGAGGAGGACGAGAGGGUUUUAUGACUGUCACGAACGGCGCCAUCAGAGCGACGCCGCGCAGGAUUUCAAGCGUGCUCGACUCUGUGGCGCCCACCGUGGCGAGGCUCGGUCCACUCUGGCCCACGGCAUGCUGGGAAAAUCUUCAGCUUCCCUGCCAGUCUGAGCCCAAAGCCAGAGAGCUAAAUGACAGGGUUGACUCCUCCUGGACGCCCCGCACCGCGAAUCCAACGCUCCCUCCACUGCUACCCUGCAAUUAACUCACUGCUGAGAGGAGGAGAGGAAAGAAGGAGAGGAGAGAGGAGGAGGACAGAGGAUAGAGGAGGAGAGAGGAGAGGAAAGGAAAGAAGGAGAGA